rnacentral:rRNA from 1 species
UUGACCUCGAAUCAGGUAGGGACUACCCGCUGAACUUAAGCAUAUCAAUAAGCGGAGGAAAAGAAACCAACAGGGAUUGCCCCAGUAACGGCGAGUGAGCGGCAACAGCUCAAAUUUGAAAUC